CCCCUCUCAGUAUUGCACCUGGAGAGUUUCCAAUACUCUACCAGUCUCAACUACAGGAGGGAGAGUCAAGCAGAGACAUACCCAAUCCAGUCCUAGCUUAGGCAGUGACUAGUAAGUGGAAGGCAAUCUGCUACAAGU
rnacentral:snoRNA from 1 species